GGAAUUUACUUUUAUGUUUUCCUCCGUACUUUUAGAUUUUUCUUUCUAUUUUAUCUUUACCUUUAAACCGCUUCAACUCUUGCGUGCCUUACUGUUGCGUCCUUUCCGUUGCCCCCCUUCGGAAACUACCUAUAAAAACUAGGCAAAUUAUAUCCCUUGCUGUCUCUUCUUCUUCGUCACAAAUUUCGUCCCUAAUUUCUAUAGAACUUUGCCAAUUUCUAAUUGGAAGUUCUAUUUUGAAUCUUCAAUGUAAAAAAAAAUGAAACCAAAAUAUAAUUUCCUCGUAGUUUUUCCUCCAUUCACCACGUAAAAAGAAAAACUAUUUCAACUGCUCAAAGAAUGGCCGCAAAUACUUCAAGAAGGUGAAGAAUACUCAAGAAGCCCAUGAAGCUAUUAGACCCACUGAUAUCCGUAGGCUACCCUCAAAGCUAUACUUAUGCAGCCACAAUAAAAGUGUUAGAAGGAUAGAAAUUAUGUCACUACCAAAGGCAGAACACUGUAUCCUUAAUUUCGUGGGCGUAUGGUAUCAACAUUUCUCUAUGAUUACUUUACUGAAGUAAUAGAUUAUAGCUUCACUGUCGAUAUGAAAACGGAACUUGAUAAUGUCUCUCCUGGUUUGACUGAAUGGAAAGGCUUUUUGAGAGAUUACUGGACUAGAUUUAGCAAGUAUUGUGAACAUACCAAUAGUGUGCACAUUCAUCAGGUGGAGAAGAUGUUGGAGAAAACGUUUGGUGAUUUUCCAUUUGCAUCUCUUCCUUAUGAAAGUAGGACAUGCCCAAGCUGUCUUCAGGGAACUUUAAUCUUCAAAGUGAGCAGGUUUGGUGCAGGCUACUCUAUAGUUGUGACCAACACCCAAAAUGCAAGUAUAUUGCCAAGAUAUUAUAUGGUGAAGUGGAUAAAGAAUCACCUCUGAAGAGCCACCGAAAUUGCGGGUGUCCAUCCUUCUUCAAAUGAGAAGAGAUCCUGCUAUGGUACCGAAAGAAGAAAAGAUGACUUAUAUUUCAAUCUCUCAAUUGAACCCAUCGUAAGCUUCGAAAACUACACUUCAUUUACUUAUUUUACUUUAUUUUCAGUUGUGUUCUUCCAUCAAGAAAUAUGCAGUGUUUAAACUUUUCCUUUCUGGACAUAAUUGUUCCUUAUAUGACCUUUUCGAGACAAAAACCUAUAGUAUCUUGCCAGAGUUCACAAAUAGUGCAUAACGAUAUUUCUAUUUUAUUAUAAGUUGAGAAUUAGGUACUUGCUAUAAUGAAAUUUCUCAAAGUUUUAUUUUCUAUUUGUCAUGAAAAUAGUUGAGUCACUCUCACUUCUAUUUGUGACUGAUUUGAUAGUUUCACAUUUGAUUGCGGGAGAAACUUAGUAUUUAGUUGAAAUCGGUAUUCUCUAUGUCCGCAUGUCUGGAAGGAUGAGGGGCUAUAUUCUUGCCUCUUAGUUUGUUAGAAUUCAACUUUAAAAUUUUGAUCUAUAGUGUGUCAAUUGCAUAUUCAUCUUGCUACUUCAUUUUUAGACAAAUUAAUUAGUGGGCAAUUCUAAGGAAUAACUGAUUCUACGAAAAGGUUAACUUUAAAUUUAGUAUUUUUUUCUUUCCGACGGAAUCAAUUAAGCAGACAUGAAUCUAAUUUCCUCUAUACUUAGGUUGCGAAUGAGACACUUAGGAUGUCUGGAUGUCCUAUUGUGGUACUCUCGAGUUGCAGUCAAUGGCUGCAAAAUUAAAUGCAAGUUUGUUCUUAGCACAUUGCUCCAUUGUUAUCCAUUGUUUUUGAGACCGCAAUAGCCUUUUUUUUUCCUUUGAACUAACAAAAAAGAAAAUGAAAAUAAUGGCUCAAUUUGAUGGGACCUUCCUUAGGAAAUUACUAAAAUAAUGGUGCAAUAUACGUUAAACAUUCAUCUGUCAAUUAAACUUUCCUCAAUGUUUAUGGCAUGUAUUGAAGGAAGGAUAGCAUGCCAACAUAGAAUACAGUAUGCAUUGGCAUCAUACAAGGAUCUUAUUUAGUUCAACUUUCAAAAUUUGAUGUACUAAAGCCUAUUGAUUAUUUUCUAAACUUUUUUUGGGACGAACCACACAUAUUUGAUGCUCAUAAGUAAAAUUAUUGAGGCAGUUCACCACCACACGAAGCGCGGGCCAUAGUUAUAGUAUAAUAUUGCAUCUUGCUUCCGUAUUUUAGCUAGCUGAUCCACUAAUCUUGUUGUGUUUCACUUUCCUGUAGGUAUAUUCAAUCAAAAGGGUCUCUAAUGUGGCUGAGCAUGAACCCGUAAAUCGUAAACAUGUUAUAAUAAAUUACCUCUUUUGAAUCUAUGAAAAAUGUCCAAUGGCUUGAAUACAAAAUUAGUGGCAAUUUUGAGACCAUUAAAAAGAGCCAGUAAUCUGAGAAAGGUGUUCGUUGCAUGAGGGAUGCAUGUUUCCUUUUAAACCCCAUGAGCAAUCUUCUUUGAAUAACCAAUAUUUACAAUCUGUAAGUUAGCUUGCAUGCACAGAUUUAAAAUAUGACAUAGUUGGUUCUGUUUUUCUGAAAGAUAUGCACAUUCUCAUAACAAUCAAAGCAUUUAUGAUGCUAAUUAAACAAAAAUUAAUCAGCCAUCCUACUUAUAACCAUAUGAAAAUAUGAUGGAAACAAUGACACCUCAAUCUCAAGAAAAUUACAAUCGGCUAUAUAAAUCCUCACUGACAUCUACAUCUCAGCUUUCCUCUAGUCAUAUCCCUUUUGAUUUUAUCACUCAAAUCAACUCUUACAUUUUAGAGCUGAAUUCCACUCUUACUUCGAGAAAACAACUUUCCAAAACCGUUUCUACUUUUAGAAGUUGUCACUUGAGUAGCUGAUGAAGUAGAUGAUGAUGACGAAGAAGAGGAUGAUUCUCCUUCAUUUCCGUUCAUAGAAUGACUAGAAUUCUCAAUCUUUGGAGAAUCUGAAUUGCUUUUUCGGGAAAAUGUCUCGUUUACAUGUAACUUCCAUUCCUCUCCACUAGCUCCAGCCACAACUGAUCCUUCCCCAGAAAAUCCAGGAAGAUUUGCUGUGUCUAUCAAGAAAUCUUCUAAAGUGGCUAGUGAUUGAAGCUGUUUCCCAAGGGAUGCAAUUGUUUUCUGGCAUUCUGCAAGCUUGUCAGCAGCUACAGCUAAAUCCUCCUGCAAAUAGAAAAGCUUAGAAUCUAAGAGCUUCAAAACUAGAAGUCGUAGUAUUACUUUGGUGGUUUCUUGCUAUUCCAUUUCUGUUACUAUUUGAUGUUUCUUGCACUUUAAUUAUUGUAUUCUUUGUUGUAGUGACUAUUCCUUUUUUAGUAUGCUUCGUCAUGCUUUCUUUAUUAUUUCGUCUUGUCUUCUUCUCUCUUGCUGUUUUCCUUUUUCGAACUGUUUUGUCAUGCUUUUACUUGAGCUGAUGGUCUAUCGGAAACAACCUCUCUACCUAACAAAGUAGGGAUAAGGUCUGAGUACACACUACACUCCCCAAACCCUACUUAUGGGAUUACACUAGGUAUGUUGUUGUUGUGAAGACUUUUGAACAACAGAAAAAGAAUUCGUUGAGACAAG